GAGAAACUGAAGAAACAAUGUAAAAUAUGGAGAAAGGAGGACCAUGUAUUGGGGCUGUAUCAGGAUUGAUUUGUUUGUAUAUCAGUUCAGUUGGCCAUCUGAGGUGCUAAAAUCUCAACACCAACGAAGCAAGUGUGCAUGAAAACAAACAAUAAAACACAACCAAACAGAAGAAAACAGGCUGGAACAGAGUUGUUUUUUUUACAGGUAGGGCAUACGCUUUUCUUUUAA